GUGAGGAAUCUUCCACAAUGGGCGAAAGCCUGAUGGAGCAACGCCGCGUGAAGGAUGAAGGUCUUCGGAUUGUAAACUUCUUUUAUGAGUGAAGAAUAUGACGGUAACUCAUGAAUAAGCACCGGCUAACUACGUGCCAGCAGCCGCGGUCAUACGUAGGGUGCAAGCAUUAUCCGGAGUGACUGGGCGUAGAGUUGCGUAGGCGGUUAUGUAAGCGAAUAGUGAAACCUGGUGGCUCAACCACACAGACUAUUAUUCGAACUGCAUAACUCGAGAAUGGUAGAGGUAACUGGAAUUUCUUGUGUAGGAGUGAAAUCCGUAGAUAUAAGAAGGAACACCAAUGGCGUAGGCAGGUUACUGGGCCAUUUCUGACGCUAAGGCACGAAAGCGUGGGGAGCGAACCGGAUUAGAAACCCUGGUAGUCC
rnacentral:rRNA from 1 species